rnacentral:rRNA from 1 species
UACGUAGGGUCCGAGCGUUGUCCGGAAUUAUUGGGCGUAAAGGGCUCGUAGGCGGUUUGUCGCGUCGGGAGUGAAAACACGGCGCUUAACCCCGUGCCUGCUUCCGAUACGGGCAGACUAGAGGUAUGCAGGGGAGAACGGAAUUCCUGGUGUAGCGGUGAAAUGCGCAGAUAUCAGGAGGAACACCGGUGGCGAAGGCGGUUCUCUGGGCAUUACCUGACGCUGAGGAGCGAAAGUGUGGGGAGCGAACAGG